GUCCAGCAGCCGAUCCAGCCUGGGUUCUGAUGGGGCUGCAUCUCCUUAUGCAGGAAGUGAAGAUAGCCAUUUUCGUAGAGCAAAAGAGGAAUUGCAAUCAAUGGUCAAAAGCCAUUCGAAAAGCCUUUUGAGACAAAUUGAUUUAGGUGCCUUGCCUGUGAACUUAUCGUUAUAAUCGUUGAUGCAAGUCAUGGUGAGUUUAAGGAAAUAGCGAGGUGUUCCACUCAUACUGUAUUGGCUGCUUGUGGCCUUGAGCACAGGAGGAGCGAGGUCUACACGAUCCCUCUACCAUCCUUUUAUUCCCACAUAGACAAAAUGGCAACUGGACAGACAAUUCUGAUAAGAGGAGUUUGCUCAACAUGUUUUGAUGUUUUCGUCAAAGAUGUAACCCAAAACAUAAUGUACACAAGACUACCACUACGUUGGUUAAGUUUAGGUCUUUACGAAUUGAUAAACGUGGGCUGCCAUUUUUUGCACGUCCAUCCUUCUUUUUGGGGGGAUUUAGAUGAGAAGUAGGGGGAUUUUUUUCCAUAAUGAUAACUGUUCGUGGUCCCAAGAGGAUCCAUUUUUCUGUGAUUACAUCAAUGAUAUUUGUUUUUUGGUUGAA